rnacentral:rRNA from 1 species
GACGAACGCUGGCGGCGUGCCUAAUACAUGCAAGUAGAACGCAGUUGCGCACGGGUGAGUAACGCGUAGGUAACUGCCUCAUAGCGGGGGGUAACUAUUUGAAACGAUAGCUAAUACCGCAUACUGUGAGAUGGACCUGCGUUGUAUUAGCUAGUUGGUGAGGUAAAGGCUCACCAAGGCGACGAUACAUAGCCGAACUGAGAGGGUGAUCUGCCACACUGGGAAUGGGAACAGGCCCAGGACCCUUCGGGAGGGAGCCGUAGGGAAUCAUCGGAAAUGGAGCGAAGGCUGAACGCGGAACGCCGCGUGAGGGAAGAAGGUUUUCGGGUCGUAAAGCUCUGUUGUUAGAGAAGCGGUAACUAACGAGAAAGGGACGGCUAACUACGUGCCAGCAGCCGCGGUAAUUC